UAGAAGAUCCUGCUGGAGCCCUGAUCAAGGACCCAGUGUGGAGCAGUUUUUGGCACUUUGGUUUUCAGCAGGGCUUCUGGGUCUUAAAUCACAAGCUCCCAUAGCUUCAGUCACAGAAAACAGACAGGUUGUCUGCUGGUAUCUAUAUUGCAGAAGCAGGUGGUCAGCAAAUUACUCCGGGGUUUAAAAUGGUGUUUAAUUGGAAUCACCUGGAAAAAGUGGGCAACACAUUGAAAAUCUACUUCAUAGAGUUCUGGAGAGGCUUCCAGAAAUGAUACAGGUUUGAAGAUGUUCAUAUUUUCAUGAGGGUAGGCAAGAGGAGAAAGCAAAUUGCUCUUAGCUGCUCCUUUUUAUAAGGUAAUCCUGUGAUGCUGAUAUGAAAUGAUUUGUGUCUUUAACGGAUAUCUCAUUUACUGUUAGUGGUAGUCAUAAUUUUAAUUCAGUGUGCUAAUGCUCUCCUUUACUCCUUAAGGUAUAUUGGACUUUUAUUUCAUUACAGGAACAAUGCAAGUUCAAAUUGGUCUGUAAGUUUCAGAAACUUUGGGCUUAUUGAGGAGGCUACCUGACCACUCUUCUGGUAAAGCAUUAGUAAAAGUUGAGAAAACAAAAUCUUCUAAAAUGUGCUUGUGUAGACACAUUUCACUUGAGAGACCAAGUUCUUGAAUAUCUGAGGGCAGUUUGAGUUGUAAAGAUUUUAUGUGGCCUCAAGACUAUGAAGGCCUGUACCCUUCUUAGCUGCCACCUUCAUGAGCUUUUCUUGUUUGUUUGAUUUUUUUUUUUUUAAUAGAUUCCUUAUUCUAAACCAUCCCAUGAUCUAGAGUCACGUGGAGAACAGAUGCUGAAUUCUGCACCUUUUUUAAUGCCAUGUGUUGAAAAUCCAAUGGUUUCUCCUUUUCAGUUAAAAAUACUGAGAAAAUACGGG